rnacentral:rRNA from 1 species
GUGGGGAAUCUUGCGCAAUGGGCGAAAGCCUGACGCAGCCAUGCCGCGUGAAUGAUGAAGGCCUUAGGGUCGUAAAGCUCUGUUGAAUGGGAAGAAAAAAAUGACGGUACCAUUCGAGGAAGGACCGGCUAACUUCGUGCCAGCAGCCGCGGUAAUACGAGGGGUCCUAGCGUUGUUCGGAAUCAUUGGGGGUAAGGGGUGUGUAGGUGGCCAUGUAAGUCAGGUGUGAAAGCCCCGGGCUCAACCCGGGAAGUGCACUUGAUACUGCGUGGCUUGAGUACCGAAGAGGGUAGUGGAAUUCCAGGUGUAGUGGUGAAAUACGUAGAUAUCUGGAGGAACACCGGUGGCGAAGGCGGCUACCUGGUCGAGUACUGACACUGAGACACGAAAGCAUGGGGAUCAAACAGGAUUAGAAACCCGUGUAGUCC